GGCGGCGAGACGGGGGCCGCCCCAGCGGAACGGCCGCGGGGAGCCGGGCGCGGGGCGGCCUCGCCGCGCCGGGGGUCGUCGGCCCCGGGAAGGGCUCGGUACGCCCGUAGGCCGGGCUUCGUGUCCGGCUGAGCCCCUGUGCUCCCAGUGCUGCGCUGGGGCCGUUCGCUGUUGGGGCAGACGGCCGGUUUGUGCUCGCUGCUGAACGGUCUUCCUCUCUUGUUUAUAAAACCUAACGAGGCCCAUCGUAAGAGAUGUGGGUAGUGAAGGUUGGCUCUGAUGCACUGCGUUAGGUGCCGGGCCAGUUCCCAAGGUAGCACUUUCAGUUCUCCCAGUCCCAUGCUGCUAGGACAAGGGAGGGGGACCGAAACGUGAGGCGACUGAGGAUCCCAUCCUGACGAAGUGUGAGGGGUGGAGACAGAGUGGGUCAGGGGAACAGAGUCUGCUUCUGUGACAUCAACACAGCGGCAGUGGCACGGCAGGGCCUUGGCAACGCCGGGCAGCCCUGCUGCUGUCUGUCUGUCAGGCUUGGUCAGAAUCACAGACGUGACACACGAUGCGUUUGCAGUUAGACUGAAUGCUGACAAGGCAGAGCUAUAUCAUGUUACAUCAACUGAGGAUAUGGCCCAGAACUCUGUAAAGUAGCAAUUCUCACCCUGGUUAUCAUGAGUCUACUCUUUUUAUCUUGGAAGGAGCUUGCAUUAAAAGUAGCAUGAACUACUAGGCCCUUGCUGAAAUUGAUUAGAGAAUAAUUUGUGUGAAGGAUAAGUCUCCUUCUAAUGCUGAGGGAAGUUCUGCUUCUGCUUGGAACACUUAAAAGGCACCCUUUGCCAGAUGAAGGCUGCAGUUGCACUGACAUACAGUGCAGAUGGAAAAUAAACAUCUGCCUCAAUCAAGAGAGAAGACCAAAGACAAGGUUGACGAAUAUUAUCUGGCAUGACUAUCUUUGCAGGAAAGCAUAUAAAUGCUACAGGACCAAAACCACUGGCAUCGUCUGGUGUUGUCCUUAUGUGGUUACUGACCAUGAAGAGAGAUGAUUAGUAUGCACUCUCCAAGGAGGAGUAGUGCAGAUGCUCAGAAUGAUAUGAUUCCAACUCACUAGUAUGUGUUUUGCUAUAGCAAUACUAUGCUAGUUACAGAGCAGUUCAAUAUUUUUUUUCUCAGAGCUUCAAUGACAUUUCAUAUCCUCAAAUGUUCUCUUUCUCUCUCUCUUUGAUUGGGGGGAAGAGCAGGUUUAGCAGCAAUUAUACUGUUAAACAUAUUUAAAAAAUGGAAAUAUAUUCAAUUUUCAACUAUUUUUUCUUUAAGCACAUUAGGAAAAAUUAUAUAUGUCCAGUUCUAAACAUAGUCAGUUUGCAGAGAAGGAUUUAUAAGCAUUUAGACCAUUCAAUUGACAGCAGACUAUUCAAAUGAUUCCCAUUUUACCUUUGGGAGAGAAAAAGAGUAGUGUACAGUUAAAGCAUUUAAAGUGACUCUACACACAUGCAUGUAUGCACAUACCUACUCUGAGCUGGUGCAGAGUUUGAUUCUUCCACAAAAGCUUGCAUGACAGAGAAUAGAUGCACUUCCACAGAUUCAAUUUCUCUAGGAGGAUUUCUUUGUUAGAUUAAAAUAGGAGCCUUACUUCUAUUCACUGUGAUGAUGUUUCAUUUUUUAUUUCAUUUUUGGCUGUGUAAGUUCAAGCUGCCUCUCUUUACUCUGGAAGAGAGUUGAGAGGGUCACAUGAAUUGUUGUUCAGUCAUAUUUAG
rnacentral:lncRNA from 1 species